UAGGGGGCAAGCGUUAUCCGGAUUUACUGGGUGUAAAGGGAGCGUAGACGGUAAGACAAGUCCGGAGUGAAAGCACGGGGCCCAACCCCGGGACUGCUCUGGAAACUGCCGUACUGGAGUGCAGGAGAGGCAGGCGGAAUUCCUAGUGUAGCGGUGAAAUGCGUAGAUAUUAGGAGGAACACCAGUGGCGAAGGCGGCCUGCUGGACUGUAACUGACGUUGAGGCUCGAAAGCGUGGGGAGCAAA
rnacentral:rRNA from 1 species